rnacentral:rRNA from 1 species
CCUACGGGAGGCAGCAGUGAGGAAUAUUGGUCAAUGGGCGCGAGCCUGAACCAGCCAAGUAGCGUGAAGGAUGACUGCCCUAUGGGUUGUAAACUUCUUUUAUAAAGGAGUAAAGUGAGGCACGCGUGCCUUUUUGUAUGUACCAUAUGAAUAAGCAUCGGCUAACUCCGUGCCAGCAGCCGCGGUAAUACGGAGGAUUCGAGCGUUAUCCGGAUUUAUUGGGGUUAAAGGGUGCGUAGGUGGUUGGUUAAGUUAGUGGUGAAAGUCUGCGGCUCAACCGUGGAAUUGCAGUUGAUACUGGCAGGCUUGAGUGCAGUUGAGGUAGGCGGAAUGCGUGGUGUAGCGGUGAAAUGCUUAGAUAUCACGAAGAACACCGAUUGCGAAGGCAGCUCAC